rnacentral:rRNA from 1 species
AAGUUAAAUAACUAAUUAAACGUAACCUCGCCUAGACGGAGGGAUAAUAUAGAAGAUAGCUAAGACCGCAUAGGUACGGACACUGCAUGGUGACCGUAUUAAAAGUGCCUCAAAGCACUGGUAGAGGAUGGACUUAUGGCGCAUUAGCUGGUUGGCGGGGUAACGGCCCACCAAGGCGACGAUGCGUAGCCGACCUGAGAGGGUGACCGGCCACACUGGGACUGAGACACGGCCCAG